rnacentral:rRNA from 1 species
UAGGGAAUAUUGGACAAUGGGCGCAAGCCUGAUCCAGCCAUGCCGCGUGUGUGAAGAAGGCCUUUUGGUUGUAAAGCACUUAAGCGAGGAGGAGGCUACUUGGAUUAAUACUCUAGGAUAGUGGACGUUACUCGCAGAAUAAGCACCGGCUAACUCUGUGCCAGCAGCCGCGGUAAUACAGAGGGUGCGAGCGUGAAUCGGAUUUACUGGGCGUAAAGCGUGCGUAGGCGGCUUUUUAAGUCGGAUGUGAAAUCCCUGAGCUUAACUUAGGAAUUGCAUUCGAUACUGGGAAGCUAGAGUAUGGGAGAGGAUGGUAGAAUUCCAGGUGUAGCGGUGAAAUGCGUAGAGAUCUGGAGGAAUACCGAUGGCGAAGGCAGCCAUCUGGCCUAAUACUGACGCUGAGGUACGAAAGCAUGGGGAGCAAACAGG